AUUGAACGCUGGCGGCAGGCUUAACACAUGCAAGUCGAGCGAGCGGCGGACGGGUGAGUAAUGUCUGGGAAACUGCCUGAUGGAGGGGGAUAACUACUGGAAACGGUAGCUAAUACCGCAUACCAUCGGAUGUGCCCAGAUGGGAUUAGCUAGUAGGGGGGGUAAAGGCUCACCUAGGCGACGAUCCCUAGCUGGUCUGAGAGGAUGACCAGCCACACGGGAACUGAGACACGGUCCAGACGACUACGGGAGGAAGCAGUGGGGAAUAUGGGAAAAUGGGCGAAAGCCUGAUGCAGCAAUGCCGCGUGGAUGAAGAAGGCCUUCGGGUUGUAAAGUACUUUCAGCGGGGAGGCGUUACCCGCAGAAGAAGCACCGGCUAACUCCGUGCCAGCAGCCGCGGUAAUAC
rnacentral:rRNA from 1 species